AAUUUUGGACAAUGGGGGAAACCCUGAUCCAGCAAUGCCGCGUGCAGGAUGAAGGUCUUCGGGUUGUAAACUGCUUUUGUACGGAACGAAAAGUCUUGGGCUAAUACCUUGGGAUCAUGACGGUACCGUAAGAAUAAGCACCGUCUAACUACGUGCCACCGGCCGCGGUAAUACGUAGGGUGCAAGCGUUAAUCGGAAUUACUGGGCGUAAAGCGUGCGCAGGCGGUUUUGGAAGGCAGUGGUGAAAGCCCCGGGCUCAACCUGGGAACUGCCAUUGUGACUGCAAGGCUGGAGUGCGGCAGAGGGGGAUGGAAUUCCGCGUGUAGCAGUGAAAUGCGUAGAUAUGCGGAGGAACACCGAUGGCGAAGGCGAUCCCCUGGGCCUGCACUGACGCUCAUGCACGAAAGCGUGGGGAGCAAACAGG
rnacentral:rRNA from 1 species